UACGUAGGGGGCAAGCGUUGUCCGGAUUUAUUGGGCGUAAAGAGCGUGUAGGCGGCCAUACAGGUCCGUUGUGAAAACUGGAGGCUUAACCUCCAGACGUCGAUGGAAACCGUAUGGCUAGAGUCCGGAAGAGGAGAGUGGAAUUCCUGGUGUAGCGGUGAAAUGCGCAGAUAUCAGGAAGAACACCCGUGGCGAAGGCAGCUCUCUGGGACGGUACUGACGCUGAGACGCGAAAGCGUGGGGAGCGAACAGG
rnacentral:rRNA from 1 species